CUCAUGGCUUCAGGAGAAAGUAGAAAUUGAAAAUCUCCAACAGAAGAUCCAGCUAGCACUGCAGCAUGUCCUACAGAAGAACCACCAAGAAGAUGGAAUUCUAACAAAGAAAGGCAAAGAAAAAUGUGGAGGCAUUGCCAAACUCUUUAGAAAACAGACUUGUAGCAGGCAGGCUGCGGGUCCAGUUGAGGUGGAGGCUAAGAGCACAACUGACCAUCAUCCUUUUCCAGAACCUAGACUCUCCUGUCCAUUUACCUCUUCUUUGACUGAGAAGGAGCGGAAGACGCACUUAUAUCCGAUGACUUAGUACUCAAAACAAAUAAAGCAUUUUCAAGUUAAUGCAGCAAGUCAAAGAGAAUUACUCACCUAUCUCCAAAUGAAAGAAGUAGUAAAGAAUGACGUUGCAGAAUUUCUGAAAUUUGCCCAAAACGCUGCAAAAGGCUGCGCCCAAGGUUAUGAUGGCAUCUCUGAAGAUGCACUG